rnacentral:rRNA from 1 species
GCUCAGUAACACGUGGAUAACCUGCCCUAAGGUCCGGCAUAACCCCGGGAAACUGGGGAUAAUACCGGAUAAACCAUAGAUACUGGAAUGUUCUGUGGUUAAAAGUUCCGGCGCCUUAGGAUGGAUCUGCGGCCUAUCAGGUAGUAGUGGGUGUAAAGUACCUACUAGCCGACGACGGGUACGGGUUGUGAGAGCAAGAGCCCGGAGAUGGAUUCUGAGACAUGAAUCCAGGCCCUACGGGGCGCAGCAGGCGCGAAAUCUUUACAAUGCGGGAAACCGCGAUAAGGGGACACUGAGUGCCAGCAUAUUAUGUUGGCUGUCCACCUGUAUAAAUCACAGGUGUUAGCAAGGGCCGGGCAAGACCGGUGCCAGCCGCCGCGGUAACACCGGCGGCCCGAGUGGUAGCCACUAUUAUUGGGUCUAAAGGGUCCGUAGCCGGUUUGAUCAGUCUUCCGGGAAAUCUGACAGCUCAACUGUUAGGCUUCCGGGGGAUACUGUCAGGCUUGGGACCGGGAGAGGUAAGAGGUACUACAGGGGUAGGAGUGAAAUCUUGUAAUCCCUGUGGGUCCACCAGUGGCGAAGGCGUCUUACCAGAACGGGUCCGACGGUGAGGGACGAAAGCUGGGGGCACGAACCGGAUUAGAUACCCGGGUAGUCCCAGCCGUAAACGAUGCUCGCUAGGUGUCUGGGAUGGUGCGACCGUUUCAGGUGCCGCAGGGAAGCCGUGAAGCGAGCCACCUGGGAAGUACGGCCGCAAGGCUGAAACUUAAAGGAAUUGGCGGGGGAGCAC